rnacentral:rRNA from 1 species
UACGUAGGGGGCAAGCGUUGUCCGGAAUCAUUGGGCGUAAAGAGCGUGUAGGCGGCCUGAUAAGUCGGCUGUGAAAGUCAAGGGCUCAACCCUUGAAUGCCGGCCGAUACUGUCAGGCUAGAGUCCGGAAGAGGAGAGUGGAAUUCCUGGUGUAGCGGUGAAAUGCGCAGAUAUCAGGAAGAACACCAAUGGCGAAGGCAGCUCUCUGGGACGGUACUGACGCUGAGACGCGAAAGCGUGGGGAGCGAACAGG